GCCUUCAGUGGUGUAGUUGGUAGCACUCUGGCACACUAAUUAUGUGCCCUGGGUUCGAAUCCCGGCCAGGGUCA